GGGGAAUAUUGGACAAUGGGCGCAAGCCUGAUCCAGCAAUGCCGCGUGGGUGAAGAAGGCCUUCGGGUUGUAAAGCCCUUUUGUACGGGAAGAAAUCCUGUCGGUUAAUACCCGGCGGGGAUGACGGUACCGUAAGAAUAAGCACCGGCUAACUUCGUGCCAGCAGCCGCGGUAAUACGAAGGGUGCAAGCGUUAAUCGGAAUUACUGGGCGUAAAGCGUGCGUAGGCGGUUGGUUAAGUCUGUCGUGAAAGCCCUGGGCUCAACCUGGGAAUGGCGAUGGAUACUGGCGAGCUAGAGUGUGAUAGAGGAUGGCGGAAUUCCCGGUGUAGCGGUGAAAUGCGUAGAGAUCGGGAGGAACAUCCGUGGCGAAGGCGGCCAUCUGGAUCAACACUGACGCUGAGGCACGAAAGCGUGGGGAGCAAAC
rnacentral:rRNA from 1 species